rnacentral:rRNA from 1 species
AUUGAACGCUGGCGGCAGGCCUAACACAUGCAAGUCGAAUGGUAACAGGAAACAGCUUGCUGUUUCGCUGACGAGUGGCGGACGGGUGAGUAAUGUCUGGGAAACUGCCUGAUGGAGGGGGAUAACUACUGGAAACGGUAGCUAAUACCGCAUAACGUCGCAAGACCAAAGAGGGGGACCUUCGGGCCUCUUGCCAUCAGAUGUGCCCAGAUGGGAUUAGCUAGUAGGUGGGGUAACGGCUCACCUAGGCGACGAUCCCUAGCUGGUCUGAGAGGAUGACCAGCCACACUGGAACUGAGACACGGUCCAGACUCCUACGGGAGGCAGCAGUGGGGAAUAUUGCACAAUGGGCGCAAGCCUGAUGCAGCCAUGCCGCGUGUAUGAAGAAGGCCUUCGGGUUGUAAAGUACUUUCAGCGGGGAGGAAGGGAGUAAAGUUAAUACCUUUGCUCGUUGACGUUACCCGCAGAAGAAGCACCGGCUAACUCCGUG